rnacentral:tRNA from 1 species
GGAGAUAUAUCCCAGUGGUUGAGUGCUUGCUUAGCAUGCAUGAGGCCCUGGGUUCAAUUCCCAGUACCA